rnacentral:lncRNA from 1 species
GGCAAACGCCACCAAAAUGAAAUCUUAAUCCACCAACCCACUAAAUUGCUAAAAUCACAAACUUUCACUCCUUUUGAACAUCACCCAAACUAGGGCUCCAAACGAAUUGAAAGAACACGAAUAAAACCUUGUUCGUGUUCGUUUGUUAAGAAAUUUUUGUGUUAACGAACAGUUCAUGAACACUUAUCGAACGAGAUUUUAUGUUCGUGCAAUGAACGAAAUCGAACGUAAAUGAAUACAAAUGAGCACAUGCUAACGUUCAUAGUCUCAUAGACACAAAUGGAAACAAACAAACACAAACAACCGUUCAUGAACAAAAAUAUAUAAUACAUUAACAGUUAUUAAAUAUUAUUUGUCAGAAAUUUUGAAGUAUAUAAAUAAAAUAUAAAAAUGAAAAACUCUAAUGAACUAUUGAACACAAACGUACAUGUUAUCGAACGUUCACGAACAUAAAUGAACGAACAUGGCCUCUGUUCAUGUUCGUUCAUUUAACUAAACAAACGAAAUUUCUUGUUCGUGUUUGUUUGUUUAAUAAAUGAACGGACACAAACGAACUUCCCGCCGAAGAGUUGACGAACUGUUUGCCGAACAUUUGGUUCGUUUACAGCCCUAUCCAAAACCAAAUAAAGUCGGCCAGUUUAGAAGGUUUAAAAUAUAUACGACCUGGAUUACUUUUGAGUUUUAACGAUUUGCAAGUUGGAACUGGCCGUUUCACAUUUGUUAUAUUUUUUUCAUUUUUGGAAUAUAAAAUCAUGUGUAUACUCAUUACAUUUGUAAAUAAUCCUUAUAGUUCAGUGCAGUUUCUUGUGGUGGUUUUAUCAACUGGUGGUUACCUCUACCUCUUCGUGCCCAUGUUCACGGCGGUUUCAGUCAGAGGUUAUGCUCUCUCUCAUAGAAUCUUAUGGUUACCUUAUAUUAAGGAUAGUUUUUGCAUUAUCAAAACCACCGUACCCAUGUAUGCAAUCCACAACCACCUCCUGUGAACCCUUAUAUAAACACAUAAAUUGUGAAAUUGGAGAGUAUCCCCAUCCUUCUCUACUUUCGGCUGCACUCUAGGUACAAGUACAGAAGGAAGAUCAAUGGAACUUGAUCGUCGCUGCCUCCUCCACAUGAGGGUUUCUACAAAUGCAUCAGUUUUGUAUUAGUUUAGCCAAGCAGAUGGAUUCAGAGGUUGGCAAGUAGGAGGAGAUGGAUGAAAAGUUGAUUAUGAUGACGAUGAUGGUGAAAAAUCGUGAAUUGUGAACCUUUUGGGGAUAUUGUUGAGGUAAGGUUGGUGAGAUAUAUGGAGACCAAUGAAGGUAAGGGUUUUGCACUUAUGGCAUUUAGAAGUAAAAAUGUUGCUUAAAAGGCCAUUGAAGAGCUACAUAACAAAGAUUUUAAGGUAUAAAGCUACAAACUUGUGCUCAUCUGUUAGGCAUUUUUUGGUUCUGGUACUCGGUUUUAUGAUGUUCUUUGCAGGGUACGAGCUUCAGGUAUUCACACUUUGAAUAUAUAUAUAUAUAUAGACUAUUCAUAGGUAAUGUGCCAAAGACUUAGACUGAUGAUGAGUUCAGAAUAGUAAUUGAGGAAAUAGGCCUAGGUUCAGAAGUGUCAUUGAGAUCUUAUAAAGGAUACUCAAGACCCGUCUCAUAACCGUGGGUUUGCUUUUGUUGAGUAUUACAAGAAUGCAUGUGCGGACUGUUCAAGACAGAAACUAGCUACCCCAAAUUUUAAACUUUAUGGAAACACCCCAACGGUUACUUGGGCUGAUCCUAAAAUCACCCCUGAUCAUUCUGCUGCUGCUGCUGCUGCACAGGUUGACAUUUUCCUCUCUAAAAUUGGGAAUAUCUUAGUUUUCAGUGGCAUUUGGUCAGCUUAUAAUCAGGGACUAAAACUAAAGCAUAGGAUGGCGUAAAAGCUACUUUAGCUCCAAAGGUUCAAGCUGUGGGAAACAACCUCCUGCAUAAAGUAUAGGGUAAGGUUGCGUACAUCAUAUCGCGAAGCGAUCCGACCACACUCCCUGGACCUGUGCAAUUGCGGAAGUUAAGUCAAGCACCGGGUACGACCUUUACCACAACAAGGUUUUUUAAUUAUUAGUUUUGUCAAGCACCGGGCAUGCCCUUUACUACAAGGUUUUUUUUAAUUAUUAGUUUUGUUUGAAGCUCCACUAAUGAAUUGUUUGCCAAUAUCAUAUUAAAAGGCUCUUCUGAAUUAAAAAGGAAUUUUGUGGUUGAUUAUUUGUUGAUGAAAAGAAUGAUAAAUUUAGCAAGCUCCAGCUCAAAGUUAUAGGGUUUACCGUGGUGAUCAUGUUCAGAGGAGUGAAGACGAUGAGUUAACCUUCACGAAAGGGUCACUGAUCAUACCAUGUGGCCACCAUAAAUGCACCUCUAUACAUCUCUUGAGGGGAGCAUUUUUUUUUAGAUUUUUAUUUGUAAAAAAAGUUGUCUUUGUCCAUUACUAUUGGAAGUUCUUGGUGAAUAAGUUUUUGAUUUUUUUUGCAAGUAUGUUAAUGUG